CCUGCAACAGAAAGAAGACACAUUGGAGAGCAACAAUCAUCAAUAGUGCCUUCAGCAUCAUGCCUGAGCCUCUUUGAGACAGCAGACUCGUGGGCACUAAAGACUUCAAGCUGGGUAUAAUCAGCCCCAGAGGCUGAGGCAGAAGGAUCAGCUAGGGUUCCAGGCCAGCCUGGGCUACAGAGACUCUGUCUGGAGAAAACAAAGCAAGGGGCCCAGCCAGAUGGCUCAGUGGGUAAGCAUAUUGUCAAGUCUCAUGACCUAGUCAAUCCUGGGGACUUCUCUGGUAGACAAAGAUUCCUACAAGUUGUCCUCUCCACUCUCUCCAAACGCAUUACAAUAAUGUAAAGUGGAACCUCCCUUCUUUCCCUGAAAUUUGAACAGUCAUGUAUUUUGCUUUGUGGUGGAAUCUGAGGCUGACCUUAGAUUUGUUUUUUUGGUUUUGUUUUUCUUUUUUGGCUUUUCAAGACAGGGUUUCUCUGUGUAGCUUUGUAGACCAGGCUGGCUUUGAACUCACAGAGAUCCACCUGCCUCUGCUUCCCAAGUCCUGGAAUUAAAGGUGUGCGUCACCACCAUCCGGCUUUGUAAACCUAUUUUUAUUGUCAUUCAUUUUAUAUUCUCAGUUCCCAUCUUUUCUUGCCAUCUGCCUGACAGGUUAGACUCUUGCUGUCAAACAGAAAGGGUAUCCAUAACAGCAGACUUGGAUUCUGUACAGAGACAGGCUUAUGCAACAAUAAUGACCUACAGGUUUUAAGGUCCAAAUACAAUGACUGUGUAGCUUGGAAAGGCACCAGUGAGAAAGCAAGCUGCACACAGCUCUGCAGAGCAGGAACUGACCAGCAGGCGUACUGUGCUCUGACUAAUGCUUUUCUGUCUCUCCUGGUUGCUGCAAUCCUAACACAUCAACAGCUGCUUCCUGUAGAGAGCGGUAGGAACGCCUUAGCCUUGCAGUGACCACUUCCUGGCAGCAGCAUUUCUGAUUCAGAAGUGUUUAUCUGGCAGGGAUAAACAAAGAACUCAACCUCCUUUAGGAACUUCUCACUUUCUGCCUCCUCUGCCUUGUCUCACACUUAUUGCCACUGGGGACCACAUACCCUAGGAUGCUCCAGUGAGGAGAAUCUAAACGUGUCCAUCUUUAGGCAGGCAUGGUGGUGCAUGCUUUUAAUCCCAAUGGCAUAGGGAUCUAUUGUUCAGGCCAGCCUGGUUUACAUGCGAGUUCAUGGCUAGUCAUGGCUACACUGUUAGACCCAGUUUCAAGCUAGUUGCCAAAAACACUUGCAAAAAGUACCUGUCUUUUCUGUUAAACCCAGAUUUCGCCCAGAGUUCCCACAAGCUAAGUAUACACUGCACUGGGUGGCAUUUCCCUGGCUGGCUUGGGCAGAAGAGGACAGAUCGAGUCACGUUUUAGGUAACAGCAACAGAAAUUCUUGGUGAGCCUCUGGCCUCAUAGCCUAACUCAAUUCCUGACAUCACUGAAGCUCACUAGUCUUAAGACACUCCUGCCUUGCUCUCCAUAGAGUACAUGUCACAGAAAUGCGACAUGACUUUCCACCAUUUACAAGUUCUGCCGCCUCCUGACCCUGAGCACAGACCACAGACCCAGACUGUCCUGCACUUCCUUCCUUCUGUGGAGACUCCCAAGGCACAGCACUGGGCUCUGGGGAGAGAACAGGAUCUUCUGAAGUUGGGAAAGGAGAACAGAACCUAUAGUUCCCUGAGCUCUCCAGAACCCCAUGGAGACACAAUUCUCACAUGGGAAAGGAAUGUAUCCACACUGCCAUCUAUGUCCCAGACUGAGCACAAGGUCAAAAUGUAGCUAUUUCAGUCCCUGUAAACAAGGAAGAGGUUUAGCGCGGAAUGGAGUUCAAACCUUGGAAUGUGUUAACAAGGACAUUUAAACAGAACCCAAAGACAUCUGGGAACACAGUGCCAUGGAGGGGCAAUAGAGUGGGCUGGAUGACUAGGGUCUGAUUCUGUUUACAACUGGGGAAGGGGGUCUAGAACAACAUGUAAGUGGUGUC